rnacentral:rRNA from 1 species
GGUUAAGCGACUAAGCGUACACGGUGGAUGCCCUGGCAGUCAGAGGCGAUGAAGGACGUGCUAAUCUGCGAUAAGCGUCGGUAAGGUGAUAUGAACCGUUAUAACCGGCGAUUUCCGAAUGGGGAAACCCAGUGUGAUUCGUCACACUAUCAUUAACUGAAUCCAUAGGUUAAUGAGGCGAACCGGGGGAACUGAAACAUCUAAGUACCCCGAGGAAAAGAAAUCAACCGAGAUUCCCCCAGUAGCGGCGAGCGAACGGGGAGGAGCCCAGAGCCUGAAUCAGUGUGUGUGUUAGUGGAAGCGUCUGGAAAGGCGCGCGAUACAGGGUGACAGCCCCGUACACAAAAAUGCACAUGCUGUGAGCUCGAUGAGUAGGGCGGGACACGUGGUAUCCUGUCUGAAUAUGGGGGGACCAUCCUCCAAGGCUAAAUACUCCUGACUGACCGAUAGUGAACCAGUACCGUGAGGGAAAGGCGAAAAGAACCCCGGCGAGGGGAGUGAAAAAGAACCUGAAACCGUGUACGUACAAGCAGUGGGAGCACGCUUAGGCGUGUGACUGCGUACCUUUUGUAUAAUGGGUCAGCGACUUAUAUUCUGUAGCAAGGUUAACCGAAUAGGGGAGCCGAAGGGAAACCGAGUCUUAACUGGGCGUUAAGUUGCAGGGUAUAGACCCGAAACCCGGUGAUCUAGCCAUGGGCAGGUUGAAGGUUGGGUAACACUAACUGGAGGACCGAACCGACUAAUGUUGAAAAAUUAGCGGAUGACUUGUGGCUGGGGGUGAAAGGCCAAUCAAACCGGGAGAUAGCUGGUUCUCCCCGAAAGCUAUUUAGGUAGCGCCUCGUGAAUUCAUCUCCGGGGGUAGAGCACUGUUUCGGCAAGGGGGUCAUCCCGACUUACCAACCCGAUGCAAACUGCGAAUACCGGAGAAUGUUAUCACGGGAGACACACGGCGGGUGCUAACGUCCGUCGUGAAGAGGGAAACAACCCAGACCGCCAGCUAAGGUCCCAAAGUCAUGGUUAAGUGGGAAACGAUGUGGGAAGGCCCAGACAGCCAGGAUGUUGGCUUAGAAGCAGCCAUCAUUUAAAGAAAGCGUAAUAGCUCACUGGUCGAGUCGGCCUGCGCGGAAGAUGUAACGGGGCUAAAUCAUGCACCGAAGCUGCGGCAGCGACGCUGAUGCGUUGUUGGGUAGGGGAGCGUUCUGUAAGCCUGUGAAGGUGUACUGUGAGGUAUGCUGGAGGUAUCAGAAGUGCGAAUGCUGACAUAAGUAACGAUAAAGCGGGUGAAAAGCCCGCUCGCCGGAAGACCAAGGGUUCCUGUCCAACGUUAAUCGGGGCAGGGUGAGUCGACCCCUAAGGCGAGGCCGAAAGGCGUAGUCGAUGGGAAACAGGUUAAUAUUCCUGUACUUGGUGUUACUGCGAAGGGGGGACGGAGAAGGCUAUGUUGGCCGGGCGACGGUUGUCCCGGUUUAAGCGUGUAGGCUGGUUUUCCAGGCAAAUCCGGAAAAUCAAGGCUGAGGCGUGAUGACGAGGCACUACGGUGCUGAAGCAACAAAUGCCCUGCUUCCAGGAAAAGCCUCUAAGCAUCAGGUAACAUCAAAUCGUACCCCAAACCGACACAGGUGGUCAGGUAGAGAAUACCAAGGCGCUUGAGAGAACUCGGGUGAAGGAACUAGGCAAAAUGGUGCCGUAACUUCGGGAGAAGGCACGCUGAUAUGUAGGUGAAGUCCCUCGCGGAUGGAGCUGAAAUCAGUCGAAGAUACCAGCUGGCUGCAACUGUUUAUUAAAAACACAGCACUGUGCAAACACGAAAGUGGACGUAUACGGUGUGACGCCUGCCCGGUGCCGGAAGGUUAAUUGAUGGGGUUAGCGCAAGCGAAGCUCUUGAUCGAAGCCCCGGUAAACGGCGGCCGUAACUAUAACGGUCCUAAGGUAGCGAAAUUCCUUGUCGGGUAAGUUCCGACCUGCACGAAUGGCGUAAUGAUGGCCAGGCUGUCUCCACCCGAGACUCAGUGAAAUUGAACUCGCUGUGAAGAUGCAGUGUACCCGCGGCAAGACGGAAAGACCCCGUGAACCUUUACUAUAGCUUGACACUGAACAUUGAGCCUUGAUGUGUAGGAUAGGUGGGAGGCUUGGAAGUGUGGACGCCAGUCUGCAUGGAGCCGACCUUGAAAUACCACCCUUUAAUGUUUGAUGUUCUAACGUUGACCCGUAAUCCGGGUUGCGGACAGUGUCUGGUGGGUAGUUUGACUGGGGCGGUCUCCUCCUAAAGAGUAACGGAGGAGCACGAAGGUUGGCUAAUCCUGGUCGGACAUCAGGAGGUUAGUGCAAUGGCAUAAGCCAGCUUGACUGCGAGCGUGACGGCGCGAGCAGGUGCGAAAGCAGGUCAUAGUGAUCCGGUGGUUCUGAAUGGAAGGGCCAUCGCUCAACGGAUAAAAGGUACUCCGGGGAUAACAGGCUGAUACCGCCCAAGAGUUCAUAUCGACGGCGGUGUUUGGCACCUCGAUGUCGGCUCAUCACAUCCUGGGGCUGAAGUAGGUCCCAAGGGUAUGGCUGUUCGCCAUUUAAAGUGGUACGCGAGCUGGGUUUAGAACGUCGUGAGACAGUUCGGUCCCUAUCUGCCGUGGGCGCUGGAGAACUGAGGGGGGCUGCUCCUAGUACGAGAGGACCGGAGUGGACGCAUCACUGGUGUUCGGGUUGUCAUGCCAAUGGCACUGCCCGGUAGCUAAAUGCGGAAGAGAUAAGUGCUGAAAGCAUCUAAGCACGAAACUUGCCCCGAGAUGAGUUCUCCCUGACUCCUUGAGAGUCCUGAAGGAACGUUGAAGACGACGACGUUGAUAGGCCGGGUGUGUAAGCGCAGCGAUGCGUUGAGCUAACCGGUACUAAUGAACCGUGAGGCUUAACCUU